rnacentral:rRNA from 1 species
GACGGAGGAUGCAAGCGUUAUCCGGAGUGAUUGGGCGUAAAGCGUCCGCAGGUGGCAGUUCAAGUCUGCUGUCAAAGACCGGGGCUUAACUUCGGAAAGGCAGUGGAAACUGAACAGCUAGAGUAUGGUAGGGGCAGAGGGAAUUCCUGGUGUAGCGGUGAAAUGCGUAGAGAUCAGGAAGAACAUCGGUGGCGAAGGCGCUCUGCUAGGCCGCAACUGACACUGAGGGACGAAAGCUAGGGGAGCGAAUGGG